rnacentral:rRNA from 1 species
AGAGUUUGAUCCUGGCUCAGGAUGAACGCUGGCGGCGUGCCUAAUACAUGCAAGUCGAGCGAACGGACGAGAAGCUUGCUUCUCUGAUGUUAGCGGCGGACGGGUGAGUAACACGUGGAUAACCUACCUAUAAGACUGGGAUAACUUCGGGAAACCGGAGCUAAUACCGGAUAAUAUUUUGAACCGCAUGGUUCAAAAGUGAAAGACGGUCUUGCUGUCACUUAUAGAUGGAUCCGCGCUGCAUUAGCUAGUUGGUAAGGUAACGGCUUACCAAGGCAACGAUGCAUAGCCGACCUGAGAGGGUGAUCGGCCACACUGGAACUGAGACACGGUCCAGACUCCUACGGGAGGCAGCAGUAGGGAAUCUUCCGCAAUGGGCGAAAGCCUGACGGAGCAACGCCGCGUGAGUGAUGAAGGUCUUUCGGAUCGUAAAACUCUGUUAUUAGGGAAGAACAUAUGUGUAAGUAACUGUGCACAUCUUGACGGUACCUAAUCAGAAAGCCACGGCUAACUACGUGCCAGCAGCCGCGGUAAUACGUAGGUGGCAAGCGUUAUCCGGAAUUAUUGGCGUAAAGCGCGCGUAGGCGGUUUUUUAAGUCUGAUGUGAAAGCCCACGGCUCAACCGUGGAGGGUCAUUGGAAACUGGAAAACUUGAGUGCAGAAGAGGAAAGUGGAAUUCCAUGUGUAGCGGUGAAAUGCGCAGAGAUAUGGAGGAACACCAGUGGCGAAGGCGACUUUCUGGUCUGUAACUGACGCUGAUGUGCGAAAGCGUGGGGAUCAAACAGGAUUAGAUACCCUGGUAGUCCACGCCGUAAACGAUGAGUGCUAAGUGUUAGGGGGUUUCCGCCCCUUAGUGCUGCAGCUAACGCAUUAAGCACUCCGCCUGGGGAGUACGACCGCAAGGUUGAAACUCAAAGGAAUUGACGGGGACCCGCACAAGCGGUGGAGCAUGUGGUUUAAUUCGAAGCAACGCGAAGAACCUUACCAAAUCUUGACAUCCUUUGACAACUCUAGAGAUAGAGCCUUCCCCUUCGGGGGACAAAGUGACAGGUGGUGCAUGGUUGUCGUCAGCUCGUGUCGUGAGAUGUUGGGUUAAGUCCCGCAACGAGCGCAACCCUUAAGCUUAGUUGCCAUCAUUAAGUUGGGCACUCUAAGUUGACUGCCGGUGACAAACCGGAGGAAGGUGGGGAUGACGUCAAAUCAUCAUGCCCCUUAUGAUUUGGGCUACACACGUGCUACAAUGGACAAUACAAAGGGCAGCGAAACCGCGAGGUCAAGCAAAUCCCAUAAAGUUGUUCUCAGUUCGGAUUGUAGUCUGCAACUCGACUACAUGAAGCUGGAAUCGCUAGUAAUCGUAGAUCAGCAUGCUACGGUGAAUACGUUCCCGGGUCUUGUACACACCGCCCGUCACACCACGAGAGUUUGUAACACCCGAAGCCGGUGGAGUAACCUUUUAGGAGCUAGCCGUCGAAGGUGGGACAAAUGAUUGGGGUGAAGUCGUAACAAGGUAGCCGUAUCGGAAGGUGCGGCUGGAUCACCU